GGGUCUCGCUCGUUACCUGACUUAACAGGAUGCUUCACAGUACGAACUGACGACGGCCAUGCACCACCUCUCAGCUAAUCCGGCAAAGUCUUCAGCCUGGCCUUCAUAUUGCUGUCGGUCCCGGUAAGAUUUCCGGCGUUGAAUCCAAUUAAACCGCAAGCUCCACCCGUUGUGGUGCUCCCCCGCCAAUUCCUUUAAGUUUCAGCCUUGCGGCCGUACUUCCCAGGUGGCUCGCUUCACGGCUUCCCUACGGCACCGACAACGGUCGCACCGUGGCCGACACCUAGCGAGUAUCGUUUACGGCUAGGACUACCCGGGUAUCUAAUCCGGUUCGUGCCCCUAGCUUUCGUCCCUUUGCCGUCAGGAUCCGUUCUGGUGAGACGCCUUCGCCACUGGUGGUCCUUCAAGGAUUACAAGAUUUCACCCCCUACCCCUGAAGUACCUCUCACCUCUCCCGGCCUCGAGCCAGACAGUAUCUCCUGAAAGCCUGACAGUUAAGCUGCCAGAUUUCUCAAGAGACUUAUCCGGCCGGCUACAGACCCUUUAGACCCAAUAAUAACGGUUACCACUCGAGCCGCCGGUGUUACCGCGGCGGCUGGCACCGGUCUUGCCCGGCCCUUGCUAUGAAAUGCUUUUUAGGCAUCUCGACAGCCAGAUUUGUAACCUGGCACUCGAGGUUCCCUUAUCGCUGUUGCCAGCAUUGUAAAGUUUUCGCGCCUGCUGCACCCCGUAGGGCCUGGAUUCGUGUCUCAGAAUCCAUCUCCGGGCUCCUGCUCUCACAACCCGUACCCGUCGUAGGCUAGUAGGUACGCUACACCCACUACUACCUGAUAGGCCGCAGACCCAUCCUUAGGCGCCGGAGCUUUUAAUCUCGGUGCAUUCCAGCAGCCGAGACUUAUAGGGGAUUAUACCCAGUUUCCCGGGUUUAUACCCAACCUAAGGGCAGGUUGUCCACGUGUUACUGAGCAGUACGCCAUGUAUUGCUACAUUCGACUCGCAUGGCUUAGUCGAACCUCGAUAGCAGUAACCUCUGGCAGGAUCAACC
rnacentral:rRNA from 1 species